CCUACGGGAGGCUGCAGUGGGGAAUAUUGCACAAUGGGGGAAACCCUGAUGCAGCGACGCCGCGUGAGCGAAGAAGUAUUUCGGUAUGUAAAGCUCUAUCAGCAGGGAAGAAAAUGACGGUACCUGACUAAGAAGCCCCGGCUAACUACGUGCCAGCAGCCGCGGUAAUACGUAGGGGGCAAGCGUUAUCCGGAUUUACUGGGUGUAAAGGGAGCGUAGACGGUUAAGCAAGUCUGAAGUGAAAGCCCGGGGCUCAACCCCGGUACUGCUUUGGAAACUGUUUGACUUGAGUGCAGGAGAGGUAAGUGGAAUUCCUAGUGUAGCGGUGAAAUGCGUAGAUAUUAGGAGGAACACCAGUGGCGAAGGCGGCUUACUGGACUGUAACUGACGUUGAGGCUCGAAAGCGUGGGGAGCAAACAGGAUUAGAUACCCUGGUAGUC
rnacentral:rRNA from 1 species